AAAUUUUCCGGCACUGUACGACACGAUGCGUGCCGGAUCAUAUCGAUGUGUGUCGAUCAUAAAAAAUAUAAAAAAUUUUGAGUUAAAUUAUUAUUAUUUUUUAUCAACAAAUUAUGUCAAUUAAUUAUUAUAUAUUUUUAUCAAACUUUUUGAACUUUGUUAAGAAAAUUAUUUAUUAAUUUUAAAAUGAGUUGUGUCAUCGGUACGAGAGUUGUAUCGUACUGAUAUUUUACUCGUACGAUAUAGUACGAUGGAUACGGUCCGUACCGAUGAGCAUUUUAAUUCAUGGUCGUAAGAUUUGUGUCAUUCACGUAAUGGACAAUAGAUAUAAACAAUUUUUCUGUUUUAAAUCAUUUUC
rnacentral:lncRNA from 1 species